rnacentral:rRNA from 1 species
GACGUAGGGCGCGAGCGUUGUCCGGAAUUAUUGGGCGUAAAGAGCUCGUAGGCGGCUCGUUGCGUCGGCUUGUGAAAACCCGCCGGCUCAACCGGUGGCUUGCAGCCGAUACGGGCAGGCUAGAGUUCGGUGAGGGGAGGACUGGAAUUCUGGUGGUAGCGGUGAAAUGCGCAGAUAUCAGGAGGAACACCGGUGGCGAAGGCGGGUCUCUGGGCCGAUACUGACGCUGAGGAGCGAAAGCGUGGGGAGCGAACAGG